rnacentral:rRNA from 1 species
AUGGAUCUGUCCUGUCUGGAUCAUGAGUUCUCUUGGGCUGAAAUCCUGGAAGCAAUUAAUCACUCUCCUAACAGCCGCAGCCCGGGUCCGGAUGGAUUCAAAAAUGAGAUCUAUAACUCCUUCCACAGCAUCCUCAAGGUCGACUUGCAGCGCUUCUUCUCAGACUUGUAUCACAACCGGGUGGACCUCUGUGGUAUUAACAUGGCUUUCAUCACUCUUUUGCCAAAGAAGGAAACGCCUCUUGACAUACGUGACUACCGGCCUAUUUCUAUGGUCCACAGCGUGCCGAAGCUAGCAAGCAAGGUUCUCACCCGUAGGUUGCAGCGUCAGAUGCCUGAGUUGAUUCACCCAUUGCAGUCUGGCUUUGCUAAGGGCAGGUCUAUUAUGGAAAACUUUGCCAUGGCAGCCGAUAUGAUUCAGAGUGCUCAUAAGAGACACUUGCCUAUGAUUGUUCUGAAGUUGGAC